ACUCAAAGGAAUUGACGGGGACCCGCACAAGCAAUGGAGCGUGUUGUUUAAUUCGAUGGUAAGCGAAGAACCUUACCAAGGUUUGACAUCUCUGGAAUUUUUUCGAAAGAAAAAAGUGCCUUCGGGAGCCAGAUGACAGGUGUUGCAUGGCCGUCGUCAGCUCGUGUCGUGAGAUGUUUGGUUAAGUCCAUCAACGAGCGCAACCCCUAUAGUUAGUUGUAUUUCUCUAGCUAGACUGCCCCGGUAACGGGGAGGAAGGAGGGGAUGAUGUCAGGUCAGUAUUACCCUUACACCUUGGGCUACAAACACGCUACAAUGGCCGGUACAAAGGGCAGCCAACCCGCGAGGGGGAGCAAAUCCCAUCAAAGCCGGUCCCAGUUCGGAUUGCAGGCUGAAACUCGCCUGCAUGAAGCCGGAAUUGCUAGUAACGGUGAGUCAGCUAUAUUACCGUGAAUACGUUCCCGGGUCUUGCACACACCGCCCGU
rnacentral:rRNA from 1 species